rnacentral:rRNA from 1 species
UGGGGAAUAUUGCACAAUGGGCGCAAGCCUGAUGCAGCCAUGCCGCGUGUAUGAAGAAGGCCUUCGGGUUGAAAAGUACUUUCAGCGAGGAGGAAGGCGUUGUGGUUAAUAACCGCAACGAUUGACGUUACUCGCAGAAGAAGCACCGGCUAACUCCGUGCCAGCAGCCGCGGUAAUACGGAGGGUGCAAGCGUUAAUCGGAAUUACUGGGCGUAAAGCGCACGCAGGCGGUCUGUCAAGUCGGAUGUGAAAUCCCCGGGCUCAACCUGGGAACUGCAUCCGAAACUGGCAGGCUAGAGUCUUGUAGAGGGGGGUAGAAUUCCAGGUGUAGCGGUGAAAUGCGUAGAGAUCUGGAGGAAUACCGGUGGCGAAGGCGGCCCCCUGGACAAAGACUGACGCUCAGGUGCGAAAGCGUGGGGAGCAAACA